UCACUUUCACACACAAUCUGCGCUGGAUCAGUUGUCACAAAUUCACAAUAACCUUUAAAUUGUUUUAUAACCGAUCAUAUACACGACAGAGACCAGGAUGUGCGAGGUAGUCCUCCCAUGCGAGUAUAAUCCCAAGGCAUGUCCGAGUCCUGCGGCGGGGAAAAGCCGCCUCUUCACGAUCCUGCUCCUCUACUGUUGGCAGCGGGAGUACGACAAGCGACCCUACCGCCAGUUCCAGUUCAAACGACUCAUGUUCGAGGAGCGGAUAGGUCGGAAGUACCACUGCAUCCGCGACUUCCGGGUCAUCGUUAACUAUCUGCUGAGGCGUCCGCAGUUGGCCAUCAGAAUCUCCAGCUUGAUUGUCAGCAACUGGGAUGCGGGCUUGCUCAAGGACUUUGUCUGCUCGCUGAUCCCCGUCUGGUAUAUCGAACUGAAUCUGAUGCGUUUUCCGCACGAGUUCUUCGUGAUGCUGCGUCUUAAUGCGGCUAAGAUGAAUGUUAGCCAGCUGAGUUUGGAAGGAACUCCCCUCACCGAUGACGAUGUGCGCAUCCUGCGAGAGUUCCUGCUGGUCAGCAAGACCCUGCGCAGGCUCAAUGUGUCCAGCUGCAGCCUGACUCAGUUCAACUUCGCUCUGAUCGCUGACGGAGUGUACAAGUCGUCUGGAGUGCGACGGUUGAGUGCCAACAGGCUGCUGGGGAUGAGCCUCAGCCUGGACACGGAGAAAAUUGCCUCUGUGCUGAGCUCGCUACUCAUGCAGAAUACACUCUGGGCUCUUUCGCUGGAGCACUGCGAACUGACCGCCCAGGACAUGAUUCCCAUUGCCGAGCACCUGGCCCGCACCAACUCAAAAUUUCGCCGCCUCCGCAUCGCCUGCAACAAGAUCGGUCCGGAUGGAGCCUUCUUCCUGCUGCGUGGAAUGUCCAUAGGAGGCAAUCUGGAGUUGCUGGACAUGAGCUACUGCUCGAUUGGCACACACGGCGGCGAGUGGGUGGCCAAGUACCUGACCUCGUGCCGCAGGCUGCAGAUCCUGCACUUGAACUACAACGACAUGGGGCCGGAGGCAGUGAAUCUCAUCCUUUUGUCCAUGAAGAAGCAGUGCAAGCUGGAGCGCCUCACCCUGUAUGGCAACCACUUUGACUCGCGUUCCGCGAUGAUAGUGCGUCGCUUGCUGGAUGCCGACGUAGUGCUGCACUCCGAGCUGGACAUCAGUUACACCUACGAUGAGGCACUGCAGGAUUACAGCGUGGUGCCUUGGAGGUAAAACUGGAUACGAAGUUGUUAGUUCUGUUUGCUCGCGGCUGCUAAGCCAACUACCCACCUAAACAAAAGCGAAACCAGAGCUAAAACUAAACUAAAAUCAAAACCCAAGCCAAAACUAAACGCACUUAGUAAACAAACUGAGCUAAAAAAGAAGCCAGAGGCUGCUAAAACUUUCACUACUAGCAAAGUUGGACCAAAAAUAGGCAAAAGAAACCCGACCAAGCAACAUGAACAUGAACGACAGUCGACGCAACACCGCCACGGAAUUCAGCUAUAUCCUGCAGCGCCAGCACCCUAAUUGCACACUUCCCAGCCGCAGGAACUCCGACUAAUUGCAGCCACACGAACUGACUGAUUGCCCAGCUGCCCACUGAGUGCAUAAUGACCGCGAUGUGGCAAAAGUCGAGGUUCUCAGCUGGUCUUAGUAGUUCCAUUCUGAAGAAUCCAAUCACAUUUGUAGUGUUGGACCAUUAAAACUGCAAAUGCUUUAUUUUAAAUCUAUUUGCCGUGCAUUGCAUUGAUAUUUUCAUAACAUAGGAUCUCUUUUUUAUAUUUUCACAAAAUAAAAAGGUAAAUGUCCUUGUUAGUAUGUACAUCUAGCACAAUUUGAAUUUUCAUUUAUUCCCUUUAGAUAAUUUCGAACGUUAUCUUGUAGUUAGGAAAUCAUGUUAAAACACCCGAAAAGUAUUUAACUUUAUGCUUUGUCAAAUGUUUUAUAUUGUGACAUUUUUGAAAUAUUGCACAAGUGUACGAAUAUGUUGUGUGCUGUCAUUUGAAAAUUUUUGUGCACGCUCACUGAAUGUGACUACAAAAACGUAAUCAAUAGAGAUUGAGUUUGCUUUGUGAGGCAAAUUAAAUUUUCCAAGUCGACAGCCACAACAGAUUUGACGACACAUGAAAAUGUGUCCAAAUCCUAGCCUGCCCAAUGAAUUGUUAAUAAACAAAAUGCCUCGUCGAUCAA